GACGAACGCUGGCGGCGUGCUUAACACAUGCAAGUCGAACGGAAAGGCCCUGCUUUUGUGGGGUGCUCGAGUGGCGAACGGGCGAGUAACACGUGAGUAACCUGCCCUUGACUUUGGGAUAACUUCAGGAAACUGGGGCUAAUACCGGAUAGGAGCUCCUGCUGCGUGGUGGGGGUUGGAAAGUUUCGGCGGUUGGGGAUGGACUCGCGGCUUAUCAGCUUGUUGGUGGGGUAGUGGCUUACCAAGGCUUUGACGGGUAGCCGGCCUGAGAGGGUGACCGGCCACAUUGGGACUGAGAUACGGCCCAGACUCCUACGGGAGGCAGCAGUGGGGAAUAUUGCACAAUGGGCGGAAGCCUGAUGCAGCAACGCCGCGUGCGGGAUGACGGCCUUCGGGUUGUAAACCGCUUUCGCCUGUGACGAAGCGUGAGUGACGGUAAUGGGUAAAGAAGCACCGGCUAACUACGUG
rnacentral:rRNA from 1 species